UACAGAGGGUGCGAGCGUUAAUCGGAAUUACUGGGCGUAAAGCGUGCGUAGACGGUUAUUUAAGUCGGGUGUGAAAGCCCCGGGCUCAACCUGGGAAUUGCAUUCGAGACUGCAUUGCUGGAGUACGGAAGAGGAAGGCGGAAUUCCCGGUGUAGCGGUGAAAUGCGUAGAUAUCGGGAGGAAAAUCAGUGGCGAAGGCGGCCUUCUGGUCCAGUACUGACACUAAAGUGCGAAAGCGUGGGG
rnacentral:rRNA from 1 species